rnacentral:rRNA from 1 species
GACGAACGCUGGCGGCGUGCCUAAUACAUGCAAGUCGAGCGAAUGACGAGGAGCUUGCUCCUUUGAUUUAGCGGCGGACGGGUGAGUAACACGUGGGCAACCUGCCCUAUAGCUUGGGAUAACUUCGGGAAACCGGAGCUAAUACCGAAUAAUUCAUUUUCUCUCAUGAGAAGAUGCUGAAAGAUGGUUUCGGCUAUCACUAUAGGAUGGGCCCGCGGCGCAUUAGCUAGUUGGUGAGGUAACGGCUCACCAAGGCGACGAUGCGUAGCCGACCUGAGAGGGGGAUCGGCCACACUGGGACUGAGACACGGCCCAGACUCCUACGGGAGGCAGCAGUAGGGAAUCUUCCACAAUGGGCGAAAGCCUGAUGGAGCAACGCCGCGUGAGUGAAGAAGGUUUUCGGAUCGUAAAACUCUGUUGUAAGGGAAGAACAAGUGCCGUAGUAACUGGCGGCACCUUGACGGUACCUUAUUAGAAAGCCACGGCUAACUACGUGCCAGCCGCCGCCGUAA